rnacentral:rRNA from 1 species
GGGAUUCGACUAAGCCAUGCGAGUCAAGGUGUCUUCGGACGCCGGCAUACGGCUCAGUAACACGUAGGUAACCUACCCUCAGGACUGAGAUAACCCCGGGAAACUGGGGCUAAUAUUAGAUAGAUAAAAGAUACUGGAAUGUUCUUUUAUCCAAAGCUUUUGCGCCUGAGGAUGGGCCUGCGUCCGAUUAGGUUGUUGGUGGGGUAAUGGCCCACCAAGCCUGCGAUCGGUACGGGCAGUGAGAGCUGAAGCCCGGAGUUGGGGACUGAGACAAGGCCCCUGGCCCUACGGGGCGCAGCAGGCGCGAAACCUCUGCAAUGCGGGAAACCGUGACAGGGGGAUCCCAAGUGCUCAUGCAUUGCAUGGGCUGUUCUUUGGUCUAAGUAACCAGAGGAGUAAGGGCUGGGCAAGACCGGUGCCAGCCGCCGCGGUAAUACCGGCAGCUCAAGUGGUAGCCGCGAUUAUUGGGCCUAAAGCGUUCGUAGCCGGAUAAGUAAGUCUUUGGUUAAAUCCUGCGACUUAACCGUGGGAAAUCUAGAGAUACUGCUUGUCUUGAGACCGGGAGAGGUUGGAGGUACUCCCAGGGUAGGGGUGAAAUCCUGUAAUCCUGGGGGGACCACCUGUGGCGAAGGCGUCCAACUGGAACGGGUCUGACGGUGAGGGACGAAACCUAGGGGAGCGAGCCGGAUUAGAUACCCGGGGUAGUCCUAGGCGUAAAUGAUGCGAGUUAAGUGUGGGGGCAUCUACGAGAUGGCCCUGUGCUGUAGGGUAGCCGUUAAACUCGCCGCCUGGGGAGUACGGUCGCAAGGCUGAAACUUAAAGGAGUUGGCGGGGGAGCACCACAAGAGGUGGAGGCUGCGGUUCAAUUGGAUUCAACGCCGGG